GAAAGGACUAGUUUAUAAAUGGAAAUGCAUUACAGACCUGUGUGAGAGGAGAAAGUAGAUGACAUCAGCAUUAACACUGCUGGAAUGCUUUUACUAUUAAUUUGUGAUGCCUGUUCAAACUCAUCCAAUUAAUGAAAUAGAGAGUACAUUUUUAAUAAUGUUCUUAUUUAAAAUGUACCAUUUUACAUUUAGUUUUACUUUAUUCACAGAUUGCACAAGAAUGAAACAAUCUUUUAUCCAUUUAUCCCUAACAGCAGGUAAACCCAGGGCCACACUGACUCCAGGAUCAACUAUCAUACCAGUAGGGGGCAGUGUGACACUGACCUGCUCUGUGGGGAGCUCUGC
ensembl:lncRNA